CCGGAAGUGUGAGAACUAAGUGCUAUGCGGGACAAAGUGCUACACCAACGGGUUUGGUGGGAGCCACCUCUUAAACCCGUAGGAGCCACCUCUAGAAUCUCACAUCGUCUGGUAAUGGUCCUGCUCUAUCUGUCUGUGAUCUGGUUUGGAUCCGACGAGGACGUCAGGAUCUAAACAGAGGGAGUUUGUAACGCCCCAAUAAUCCCACAUUGGAUGGGAUACUGAUUUCGAUCAGUUUAUAUGAGGUCUACACGCUAGUAAUAAUAACCCGGCUUAAGCAUUUUGGGCAGGUGGUUUGGGCCCAACGAGUUAUUGUUGUUAGCGGGUCGGGUCAUUACAAAUGGUAUCAGAGACGAAUACCAGCCGGAAGUGUGAGAGCUAAGUGCUAUGCGGGAUAAAGUGCUACACCAACGGGUUUGGUGGGAGCCACCUCUAGAAUCUCACAUCGCCUGGUAAUUUGGUCCUGGUCUAUCUGUCUGGGAUUUGGUUUGGACCCGACGAGGACGUCAGGGUCUAAACAGGGGGAGUUUGUAACGCUCCAAUAAUCCCACAUUGGAUGGGAUACUGAUUUCGAUCAGUUUAUAUGAGGCCUACACGCUAGUAAUAAUAACCCGGCUUAAGCAUUUUGGGCAGGUGGUUUUGGGCCCAACGAGUUAUUGUUGCUAGCGGUUCGGGUCAUUACAAAUGGUAUCAGAGAUGAAUACCAGCCGGAAGUAUGAGAGUUAAGUGCUAUGCGGGAUAAAGUGCUACACCAAUAGGUUUGGUGGGAGCCACCUCUAGAAUCUCACAUCGCCUGGUAAUCUGGUCCUGAUCUGUCUGUCUGUGAUUUGGUUUGGACCCGACGAGGACGUCAGGGUCUAAACAGGGGGAGUUUGUAACGCCCCAAUAAUCCCACAUUGGAUGGGAUACUGAUUUCGAUCAGUUUAUAUGAGACCUACACGCUAGUAAUAAUAACCCGGUUUAAGCAUUUUGGGC
rnacentral:lncRNA from 1 species